rnacentral:rRNA from 1 species
AAUGCGUAGAGAUCUGGAGGAAUACCGGUGGCGAAGGCGGCCCCCUGGACAAAGACUGACGCUCAGGUGCGAAAGCGUGGGGAGCAAACAGGAUUAGAUACCCUGGUAGUCCACGCCGUAAACGAUGUCUACUUGGAGGUUGUGCCCUUGAGGCGUGGCUUCCGGAGCUAACGCGUUAAGUAGACCGCCUGGGGAGUACGGCCGCAAGGUUAAAACUCAAAUGAAUUGACGGGGGCCCGCACAAGCGGUGGAGCAUGUGGUUUAAUUCGAUGCAACGCGAAGAACCUUACCUGGUCUUGACAUCCACGGAAGUUUUCAGAGAUGAGAAUGUGCCUUCGGGAACCGUGAGACAGGUGCUGCAUGGCUGUCGUCAGCUCGUGUUGUGAAAUGUUGGGUUAAGUCCCGCAACGAGCGCAACCCUUAUCCUUUGUUGCCAGCGGUCCGGCCGGGAACUCAAAGGAGACUGCCAGUGAUAAACUGGAGGAAGGUGGGGAUGACGUCAAGUCAUCAUGGC